UACGUAGGGGGCGAGCGUUGUCCGGAGUUACUGGGCGUAAAGCGCACGCAGGCGGUCUGCUAAGUUUGGAGUGACAGUUGGUGGCUUAACUGCCAAAGUGCUUCGAAAACUGACAGACUUGAGGGCUUCAGAGGGACACGGAAUCCGGGUGGAGUGGUGAAAUGCGUAGAGAUCCGGAGGAACACCAAAGGCGAAGGCAGUGUCCUGGGGAGUACCUGACGCUGAGGAGCGAAAGCGUGGGGAGCGAACAGG
rnacentral:rRNA from 1 species